GGGGUGGUCGACCAGAUCCCGGACGAGCCCCCAAAUGAAAGGACCCCCAACAGGGAGACCCUCCUCAAGUCACAGGUGACGGCGCAACCCCAAUCAGUCACGGAG
rnacentral:pre_miRNA from 1 species